rnacentral:lncRNA from 1 species
AUUAAAAUGACAACUUAUUUUAUAAAGAUUUAUGCGAAAAAAGAUUUGAGAUAAAUAUAUCAAAAUAAUUUUAAAAAAAUAAAUAGAAGGGAAAUAAAAUAAUGGAAGAAUUUGUUUAAUAAAAUUAAUUAUAUAUAUACACACACGCACUAUAUUUCUAAAAUCUUACUCCUCAAAUUUACAUUAUGUAUUUUUUUAUACAUCGAUCAAAUUAGAUUUUAUUAUGCGAUUUAUUACGUGUAUUAUUAAUAAUAUUAAUUAAUUAUAUUAUAUACAAUGAAUUUAUUAAUAAAAUUAAUUAUAUAUAUACACACACGCACUAUAUUUCUAAAAUCUUACUCCUCAAAUUUACAUUAUGUAUUUUUUUAUACAUCGAUCAAAUUAGAUUUUAUUAUGCGAUUUAUUACGUGUAUUAUUAAUAAUAUUAAUUAAUUAUAUUAUAUACAAUGAAUUUAUUAAUAAAAUUAAUUAAUUAAUUUCAUAGAGUUUAGAGAUUUAAAUUUUUAAAUUUUGAAGUUUAAAAUUUGAAAAUAAAUAUUAUAAAUUAAAUUUAAAAUUUAAAAUUUAAAAUUUAAAAUUUAAAAUUUAAAAUUUAAAAUUUAAAAUUUAAAAUUUAAAAUUUAAAAUUUAAAAUUUAAAAUUUAAAAUUUUG